rnacentral:misc_RNA from 1 species
UAAUAAGUGUUUUAUGGCACUUUUUAAAUCCAUAUCCACCUUGUGUGCAAUGUCAGUCGAUCUUCUUCAUGGAGAUCGACCAAACAUCAACCUUUAUCUUUUUACUCUUUGUCUGAAAAAUAUCAUGAAUAAACAAUUCAAAAUA